GAUGAACGCUAGCGGCAGGCUUAACACAUGCAAGUCGAGGGGUAUAGUUCUUCGGAGCUAGAGACCGGCGCACGGGUGCGUAACGCGUAUGCAAUCUACCUUUUGCAGAGGGAUAGCCCAGAGAAAUUUGGAUUAAUACCCCAUGGUAUGUGACAAUGGCAUCAUUUUCACAUUACAGUCACAACGUCAAAAGAUGAGCAUGCGUACCAUUAGUUAGUUGGUAAGGUAACGGCUUACCAAGGCAACGAUGGGUAGGGGUCCUGAGAGGGAGAGCCCCCACACUGGUACUGAGACACGGACCAGACCCCUCCGGGAGGCAGCAGUGAGGAAUAUUGGACAAUGGGCGCAAGCCUGAUCCAGCCAUGCCGCGUGCAGGAUGACGGUCCUAUGGAUUGUAAACUGCUUUUGUACAGGAAGAAACACUGGUUCGUGAACCAGCUUGACGGUACUGUAAGAAUAAGGAUCGGCUAACUCCGUGCCAGCCGCCGCCGUAAAAC
rnacentral:rRNA from 1 species